UCCAGACUCCUACGGGAGGCAGCAGUGGGGGAUAUUGCACAAUGGGCGAAAGCCUGAUGCAGCGACGCCGCGUGAGGGAAGACGGUCUUCGGAUUGUAAACCUCUGUCUUUGGGGAAGAAUAGAGACGGUACCCAAAGAGGAAGCUCUGGCUAACUACGUGCCAGCAGCCGCGGUAAUACGGAGGAUGCGAGCGUUAUCCGGAUUUAUUGGGUUUAAAGGGUGCGCAGGCGGAAUGUCAAGUCAGCGGUAAAAUUUCGGGGCUCAACCCCGUCGUGCCGUUGAAACUGGCGUUCUUGAGUGAGCGAGAAGUAUGCGGAAUGCGUGGUGUAGCGGUGAAAUGCAUAGAUAUCACGCAGAACUCCGAUUGCGAAGGCAGCAUACCGGCGCUCAACUGACGCUCAUGCACGAAAGCGUGGGUAUCGAACAGGAUUAGAUACCCCCGUAAA
rnacentral:rRNA from 1 species